rnacentral:rRNA from 1 species
AUUGAACGCUGGCGGCAGGCCUAACACAUGCAAGUCGAACGGUAACAGGAAGCAGCUUGCUGCUUCGCUGACGAGUGGCGGACGGGUGAGUAAUGUCUGGGAAACUGCCUGAUGGAGGGGGAUAACUACUGGAAGCGGUAGCUAAUACCGCAUAACGUCGCAAGACCAAAGAGGGGGACCUUAGGGCCUCUUGCCAUCGGAUGUGCCCAGAUGGGAUUAGCUAGUAGGUGGGGUAACGGCUCACCUAGGCGACGAUCCCUAGCUGGUCUGAGAGGAUGACCAGCCACACUGGAACUGAGACACGGUCCAGACUCCUACGGGAGGCAGCAGUGGGGAAUAUUGCACAAUGGGCGCAAGCCUGAUGCAGCCAUGCCGCGUGUAUGAAGAAGGCCUUCGGGUUGUAAAGUACUUUCAGCGGGGAGGAAGGGAGUAAAGUUAAUACCUUUGCUCAUUGACGUUACCCGCAGAAGAAGCGCCGGCUAACUCCGUG